UUGCUUCAGCAGCACAUAUACUAAAAUUGGAAUGCUACAGAGAAGAUUAGCAUGGUCCCUGCAUGAGGAUGACAUGCAAAUUGAUGAAAAUUCCAUAUUUUU